UUGACCUUUGACACCAACAUGGCGGGGCGGUCCUAUCAGCCACGGUAAAGAGUAGAGUAAAGAGCCACGCUGCCAUUGGUGAGCUACACAGGAUGGUUGAAUGCGAUGCGGGAUGGUACAACGCUAUUGGCUGACAUAGUGGAAGGCGGAGACACCAUAGCUUGACCUGCAGUUGACCUCGGUGAUCUGUGCCGUCGGUUUGCCAGCUUAUGCUGACGUGUAUGGAACUUGUCGAUGCCAAGAGAUUAUCUUUCUGAUUCUGAACAUAUUCAUCACAACGAACUGGUUUUACAGGGAUGUCUGGGCUGCGGCGUGCUAUCAUAUGGAACAAAGGCCCCAAGCAUGAUUUCUCAAAGAUUACCCAUAAGAAACGACGUGGUAAGAAGUCCAGUGCAUCUACAUCCACGGCUAGUGCAGGGAGUAGCAGGCUUCCUGAUUCAGCAAUCAACAUUGGCCAGGAUGCCCCUGAUCAAAGCAUGGCGUCAAGUCAGGUCCAGCCUAGAGAAAAAUCACAUUCUUCUGGCAAACCGAUGAAUCACGAGGACAUGAAGGACGGGACAAACGUAGAAGAGCAGCAGAUUUUUAACAAAGAACAACAUCUCGAGUUCAACAAACAAUCACCCAGUCUGCAG